UACGUAGGAUCCGAGCGUUAUCCGGAUUUAUUGGGUUUAAAGGGUGCGUAGGCGGUUUGAUAAGUUAGAGGUGAAAUGUCGGGGCUCAACCCCGAAACUGCCUCUAAUACUGUUGGACUAGAGAAUAGUUGCGGUAGGCGGAAUGUAUGGUGUAGCGGUGAAAUGCUUAGAGAUCAUGCAGAACACCGAUUGCGAAGGCAGCUUACCAAACUAUAUCUGACGUUGAGGCACGAAAGCGUGGGUAGCAAACAGG
rnacentral:rRNA from 1 species